GACGAACGCUGGCGGCGUGCUUAACACAUGCAAGUCGAACGGAAAGGCCCUGCUUGCAGGGUACUCGAGUGGCGAACGGGUGAGUAACACGUGGGUGAUCUGCCCUGCACUUCGGGAUAAGCCUGGGAAACUGGGUCUAAUACCGGAUAGGAGCCAUUUUUAGUGUGAUGGUUGGAAAGUUUUUUCGGUUGGGGGUGCGCUCGCGGGCUAUCAGCUUGGUGGUGGGGGAAUGGCCUACCAAGGGGGCGACGGGUAGCCGGCCUGCGAGGGUGGGCGGGCACGUGGGGACUAUGCUACGGCCCCGACUCCUUCGGGGGGCAGCAGUGCGGGAUGGUGAACAACGGGCUCAAGCCUGACGACGCCUCUCCGCGGGGGGGAUUAUGGCGUUCGGGUUGUAAAAUAGUCUCGCCAGGGACGAAGCUGUGGUGAAGGCACGUAGAGAAGAAGAACCGCCUAAGUCCGUG
rnacentral:rRNA from 1 species